rnacentral:rRNA from 1 species
AACGAACGCUGGCGGCAGGCCUAACACAUGCAAGUCGAGCGAGGACUUCGGUCCUAGCGGCGGACGGGUGAGUAACGCGUGGGAACGUGCCCUUUGCUUCGGAAUAGCCCUGGGAAACUGGGAGUAAUACCGGAUGAGCCCUUUGGGGGAAAGAUUUAUCGGCGAAGGAUCGGCCCGCGUUGGAUUAGGUAGUUGGUGGGGUAAUGGCCUACCAAGCCGACGAUCCAUAGCUGGUUUGAGAGGAUGAUCAGCCACACUGGGACUGAGACACGGCCCAGACUCCUACGGGAGGCAGCAGUGGGGAAUCUUAGACGAUGGGGGAAACCCUGAUCUAGCCAUGCCGCGUGAGCGAUGAAGGCCUUAGGGUUGUAAAGCUCUUUCAGCUGGGAAGAUAAUGACGGUACCAGCAGAAGAAGCCCCGGCUAACUCCGUG